rnacentral:rRNA from 1 species
ACCAAAAAGGGGGACCUUCGGGCCUCUUGCCAUCGGAUGUGCCCAGAUGGGAUUAGCUAGUAGGUGGGGUAACGGCUCACCUAGGCGACGAUCCCUAGCUGGUCUGAGAGGAUGACCAGCCACACUGGAACUGAGACACGGUCCAGACUCCUACGGGAGGCAGCAGUGGGGAAUAUUGCACAAUGGGCGCAAGCCUGAUGCAGCCAUGCCGCGUGUAUGAAGAAGGCCUUCGGGUUGUACAGUACUUUCAGCGGGGAGGAAGGGAGUAAAGUUAAUACCUUUGCUCAUUGACGUUACCCGCAGAAGAAGCACCGGCUAACUCCGUGCCAGCAGCCGCGGUAAUACGGAGGGUGCAAGCGUUAAUCGGAAUUACUGGGCGUAAAGCGCACGCAGGCGGUUUGUUAAGUCAGAUGUGAAAUCCCCGGGCUCAACCUGGGAACUGCAUCUGAUACUGGCAAGCUUGAGUCUCGUAGAGGGGGGUAGAAUUCCAGGUGUAGCGGUGAAAUGCGUAGAGAUCUGGAGGANANUNNACCGGUGGCGAAGGCGGCCCCCUGGACGAAGACUGACGCUCAGGUGCGAAAGCGNCGGGAUCCAUAACAGGAUUAGAUACCCUGGUAGUCCACGCCGUAAACGAUNUCNACUUGGAGGUUGUGCCCUUGAGGCGUGGCUUCCGGAGCUAACGCGUUAAGUCGACCGCCUGGGGAGUACGGCCGCAAGGUUAAAACUCGAAUGAAUUGACGGGGGCCCGCGCAAGCGGUGGAGCAUGUGGUUUAAUUCGAUGCAACGCGAAGAACCUUACCUGGUCUUGACAUCCACGGAAGUUUUCAGAGAUGAGAAUGUGCCUUCGGGAACCGUGAGACAGGUGCUGCAUGGCUGUCGUCAGCUCGUGUUGUGAAAUGUUGGGUUAAGUCCCGCAACGAGCGCAACCCUUAUCCUUUGUUGCCAGCGGUCCGGCCGGGAACUCAAAGGAGACUGCCAGUGAUAAACUGGAGGAAGGUGGGGAUGACGUCAAGUCAUCAUGGCCCUUACGACCAGGGCUACACACGUGCUACAAUGGCGCAUACAAAGAGAAUCGACCUCGCGAGAGCAAGCGGACCUCAUAAAGUGCGUCGUAGUCCAGAUUGCAGUCUGCAACUCGACUCCGUGAAGUCAGAAUCGCUAGUAAUCGUGGAUCAGAA